GUGGGGAAUAUUGGACAAUGGGCGAAAGCCUGAUCCAGCCAUGCCGCGUGUGUGAAGAAGGUCUUCGGAUUGUAAAGCACUUUAAGUUGGGAGGAAGGGCAGUAAGUUAAUACCUUGCUGUUUUGACGUUACCGACAGAAUAAGCACCGGCUAACUUCGUGCCAGCAGCCGCGGUAAUACGAAGGGUGCAAGCGUUAAUCGGAAUUACUGGGCGUAAAGCGCGCGUAGGUGGUUUUGUAAGUUGGAGGUGAAAUCCCCGGGCUCAACCUGGGAACUGCCUCCAAAACUGCAUGACUAGAGUACGGUAGAGGGUAGUGGAAUUUCCGGUGUAGCGGUGAAAUGCGUAGAUAUAGGAAGGAACACCAGUGGCGAAGGCGACUACCUGGACUGAUACUGACACUGAGGUGCGAAAGCGUGGGGAGCAAACAGGAUUAGAAACCCCAGUAGUCC
rnacentral:rRNA from 1 species